UGGUAGGUUAGAUGGACGGAAGGCCGAUGGCCACGUGGCCCUGGGGUUAGCUAACUAAAAUUGGGGGUAGAUGUGGUACCACAUGCAAAUAAUUUUCUUUAUGGUUUUUGUUUGGUUUGAUUUUGUUAAUUUCAUUAACUAGACUUCAUAGGAAAAUUAGUUGGAAUUGAGUACGUACUCUCUAUUUCCUUGUUAAUUUCUGAAUUAUAGUUUUUCCGUCAACUGUGAUGGUGUUAGGUGUAGCAUAGGAGUAGGCAUGCCACACCUUAUGUUUGUAGCAUAAGGAAUAAUAAUG
rnacentral:misc_RNA from 1 species